ACGCUCGACACCUACGGGAGGCAGCAGUGGGGAAUAUUGCACAAUGGGCGAAAGCCUGAUGCAGCAACGCCGCGUGAGCGAAGAAGGCCUUCGGUCGUAAGCUCUGUCCUCAAGGAAGAUAAUGACGGUACUUGAGGAGGAAGUCCCGGCUAACUACGUACCAGCAGCCGCGGUAAUCUGAGCGGGCGUGGCAAGGC
rnacentral:rRNA from 1 species